rfam:Capsicum annuum cultivar Zunla-1 chromosome 7, whole genome shotgun sequence
ACGACCUUACUUGAACAAGAUCUGUCUUAUAGGCUCGUACCAUUGUAUCCUUGAGUUCUAAGGAGACAAGAGACCAAGUUUGGUGGAUGAAUCGUGGCCAUGCGACUAGAGCGUGAUUAACAGCCUCCAUAGCCUUCGGGUCAUGAUGUCGUAGAUGAUCGUCCUCAGCCUGGUCCACUGAGUUAGAGAUGGUCUCAUGACUUUCUGUCAGACU